AGCCUUUGUGUUGCCCAUUCACCUUUGGUUACUAGUGAAUGUGGUGUCAAAAGAGGCAUAAGUUAAUGCUUUGCAGCCUUUUCUCACCCUGGAGUUUGGUAUCUUGGGUGUAGAGGCUGCGUAAGUAACAGGA
rnacentral:snoRNA from 1 species